UGUGGCCUCAAAUCAGGUAGGACUACCCGCUGAACUUAA
rnacentral:rRNA from 1 species